rnacentral:rRNA from 1 species
UACGGGGGGGGCAAGCGUUGUUCGGAAUUACUGGGCGUAAAGGGAGCGUAGGCGGAUAGUUCAGUCAGAGGUGAAAGCCCAGGGCUCAACCUUGGAACUGCCUUUGAUACUGGCUAUCUUGAGUUUGGGAGAGGUGUGUGGAACUCCGAGUGUAGAGGUGAAAUUCGUAGAUAUUCGGAAGAACACCAGUGGCGAAGGCGACACACUGGCCCAAUACUGACGCUGAGGCUCGAAAGCGUGGGGAGCAAACAGG